UCCGAGGUAAUGAUUAAUAGGGACAACUGGGGGCAUUCGUAUUGCGACGUUAGAGGUGAAAUUCUUGGAUCUUCGCAAGACGGACAGAAGCGAAAGCAUUUGCCAAAUGUGUUUUCAUUAAUCAAGAACGAAAGUUAGAGGUUCGAAGGCGAUCAGAUACCGCCCUAGUUCUAACCAUAAACUAUGCCAGCUAGCGAUCCGCUGAAGUUCCUCCGAUGACUCGGCGGGCAGGUGGUGGUGCAUGGCCGUUCUUAGUUGGCGAAGUGAUUUGACUGGUUAAUUCUUGGCAUGCACUUCUCUCUCAGUGCCACGAAUUUAUUCGCGCCAGACCCCGCCUGCUCCGGCCGACUGCCAGACGGUAUAAAUGAUAUAGGGUUGCUUUUAUAAGCGUUCGGCCGGUUGCAAGCACGGACGGUUAUUGGCCGUCGGACCUAGUCCGGCAUCGAUGGCGUCUCGAGCUGUUAGCUACCGUGUUCUCGGACGGACUCUAUUACCGGUCAGCGAUGCUAUUGCUUUGGGUACUUUCAGGACCCGUCUUGAAACACGGACCAAGGAGUCUAGUAUGUGCGCGAGUCAUUGGGUAAUACAAAACCUAAAGGCGCAAUGAACGUAAAGGUUUGCUUAAGUAAACUGAGGGAUGACGAACCGCAUCUACGGAUGCGUGCUUGCAAUCCCGGGGCGUCUCACUCUCAUUGCGAGAAGAGACGCACUCAGAGUGUACACGCUAGGACCCGAAAGAUGGUGAACUAUGCUCGGCCAGGUCGAAGUCAGGGGAAAUCCUGAUGGAGGACCGUAGCGAUUCUGACGUGCAAAUCUUUCGUCGGAACUGGGUAUAGGGGCAAAAGACUAAUCGAACCAUCUAGUAGCAGUUUCCCUCCGAAAUUUCCCUCAGGAUAGCUGGCAUUCGAUGAGCGAGUCUCAUCCAGUAAAGCAAAUGAUUAGAGGCCUUGGGGCCGAAACGAUCUCAAACUAUUCUCAAACUUUAAAUGGGUGAGAUCUCUGGCUUGCUUGAAUAGUGAAACCAGAGAUUUGGAUCAGAGUGCCUAGUGGGCCACUUUUGGUAAGCAGAACUGGCGCUGUGGGAUGAACCAAACGACGUUAAUAGGAUAACAUGAAAGGCGUUGGUUGCUUAAGACAGCAGGACGGUUGUCAUGGAAGUUGGAAUCCGCUAAGGAGUGUGUAACAACUCACCUGCCGAAGCAACUAGCCCUGAAAAUGAAUGGCGCUGAAGCGUCGUGCCUAUACUCGGACGCCAGGGCAUAAGAAACGUUCAUAAUAGUUCGUUUCGACGCCCUGGUGAGUAGGAGGGUCGCGGUGGUGGGCCCAGAAGGGUUUGGGCGUAAGCCUGCCUGGAGCCGCCAUCGGUGCAGAUCUUGGUGGUGGUAGCAAAUACUCUAGCGAGGACCUGGAGGACUGACGUGGAGAAGGGUUUCGAGUGAACAGCCGUUGCACACAAGUCAGUCGAUCCUAAGCCCCAGGAGAGAACCUAUAUUGAUGUUGGUGUAUUUUAUUUUGAAUAAAAUUUUACACCGAUCGGGCGAAAGGGAAUUCGGUUCCUAUUCCGGAACCCGGCAGCGGAACCGUUUACAAGUCGGGCCCUCGCAAGAGAGUUCGUCGGGGUAACCCAAAAUGACCUGGAGACGCCGUCGGGAAAUACGGGGAGAGUUUUCUUUUCUGUAUGAGCGUUCGAGUUAUCUGGAAUCCUCUAGAAGGCAGAUAGGGUUUGGAACGCGAACAGCACCGCUGUUGCGGCGGUGUCCGUAUCUUUCCCUCGGACCUUGAAAAUCCAGGAGAGGGCCACGGUAGGUGUCGCGCCGGUUUGUACCCAUAUCCGCAGCAGGUCUCCAAGGUGAAGAGCCUCUCGUCGAGUUGGGAAGCGGGCGUAGGCCAAUCUGCCGGGCCUGGGCAAGGUGAAAUUGUCCUUGUGACUUAGAUCCGAGCUCGGUCCCGUGUCUAGGCCUCCCGCGGAUCUUUCUUGCUGCGAGGUUUCUGUGCCGGCUUUGGUCGGUCAUUCGUACUCUUCGGCCACCAUUCAACGAUCAGCUCAGAACUGGCACGAACUAGGGGAACCCGACUGUCUAAUUAAAACAAAGCAUUGCGAUGGCCCUAGCGGGUGUUGAUGUGAUUUCUGCCCAGUGCUCUGAAUGUCAACGUGAAGAAAUUCAAGCAAGCGCGGGUAAACGGCGGGAGUAACUAUGACUCUCUUAAGGCCUCGUCAUCUAACUAGUGACGCGCAUGAAUGGAUUAACGAGAUUUCCACUGUCCCUAUCUACUACUAUCUAACUGCUACAUGCAGUUCUCAGUCGACAUAAGUAUCUUCCUGCGAAAGCUGGACAAAAUCCUCAGGAACCUGGCCGGCCGCCGCAUCAUAGUCACUACAGACGCAAAUGCAAAAUCCUGUCUGUGGUUUUCGAAAACUCUGGAUAGCAGAGGUAAGGAACUAGAGGAGUGGAUCGCCUCUAACCAAGUUGUUUUGAAUGAGCCUAGUCACAACUACACAUACCAAAGUGAAGCUGGGGACACAAAUAUAGAUGUAACACUUACAACCCCAAAUAUGUCUUUAAAAGUGAUCAACAGUAAUGUGAGUCAUAUAGCG
rnacentral:rRNA from 1 species